ACGAAGGGGGCUAGCGUUGCUCGGAAUCACUGGGCGUAAAGGGCGCGUAGGCGGCCUUGUAAGUUGGGGGUGAAAGCCCGUGGCUCAACCACGGAAUUGCCUUCGAUACUGCUUGGCUUGAGUGUGGUAGAGGUUGGUGGAACUGCGAGUGUAGAGGUGAAAUUCGUAGAUAUUCGCAAGAACACCGGUGGCGAAGGCGGCCAACUGGACCAUCACUGACGCUGAGGCGCGAAAGCGUGGGGAGCAAACAG
rnacentral:rRNA from 1 species